UACAGAGGGUGCAAGCGUUAAUCGGAAUUACUGGGCGUAAAGCGCACGUAGGCGGCUUUCUAAGUCGGGGGUGAAAUCCUGGAGCUCAACUCCAGAGCUGCCUUUGAUACUGGAGAGCUUGAGUCCGGGAGAGGUGAGUGGAACUCCGAGUGUAGAGGUGAAAUUCGUAGAUAUUCGGAAGAACACCAGUGGCGAAGGCGGCUCACUGGCCCGGUACUGACGCUGAUGUGCGAAAGCGUGGGGGGCAAACAGG
rnacentral:rRNA from 1 species